rnacentral:lncRNA from 1 species
CAAUACAGACACAAAUUAUCAGUCAUUGAUUAAUCCAUCAAAGAAAGACACCCAGGUAUAUUAUUUAUGUGUUGUGUUGCAUGUGUGCAUGUGAUUGCUUGUACAUUUUAGACGUUUAAUGUUUGUAUCAAUGCAUGUCUUUAUCUUAUACAGAUAAUUCUACUAAACACGUCCAUUAUAAGCAUGAGGACCACAGUUUCAUUGUUAAUACAUUCUAUAAUUAUUCUUCUCUUCGUAUUGAUUUGUUGUUGCUGAAGUGGACGACUGUUUGUGACAUUACUUUAGCUUUAUCACUUUACUGCUAUUUAAUCUAACACCGCCGUAAAGAACCAGGUGAAGCAUUUUUGUAUUUAGAGACAAACCAUUUAUCGGCCUUAAGUAUUACAUUAAAUGAGCAUGUGCACUUCUAUAAUGUAUUGAAGAGUAAUGUGUCAGGAAAUCACCACUUUAUUUGUUUAAAAUAAAAAAGCAAUAAGACGUUCACAAUAACCAUUAACAAACCUGCUUCAAUUACUUCUGUGUAUCAUUAUUAUCUUAGAACAUACUGUAGUUAUACCCCAAGUAACGAACUGUAGAAGGUAGUAAUGAUCAUCUUCCAUCCGUCUAAAAUUUAAUUGAAAGAAGAAAGGUUCACUUGCAUAAUAAUUUACACCGCUCCUCCCCAUCCACUCCUCACAACAAAAAAAAAAUUAAAAAAAAAUACAAAACAAGCAAAUAAAUAAAAUAGUUGAUACAUGUAAUUAUUGAACGAGUGACCGAACAACACAAUAAUUCACGAAUGCGCGAAAUUAUCAGUGUUGUUUUGGUCACAAUUCAAUUCAAUUCAAUAUUUUAUUUACGUCUCACCUUAUGUAUAAAAUUACACAAUACAUUUAUAAAAGAUACAUUUUGUAUACAUAAGCCAAUCUGUACAGAUUUAUGAGAGACGAUAAUCACUUAAAAGAAUAUGUAUAUGUACAUAAUAAAUAUUAAACCUGAAUGGUAAAAUUAUACAACAAAAGUAUUUUUCACAAGUAGAUAACUUUUCUUUUUACUACAUGGAAUUUCUAGAGAAUUAAAUAACGAAAAAUGCAAAUAAUCUGUUUCUGCGCAGUAAAUAGUCCUGCGUAUUAAAUCGGCAUUUUUGCUAUACAAUCUAAAAAACGGCUACAAGUGCCAAAAAAAACAACAAAAAACAACACCAAUUCUUCUGAAAUAUGUAUACUUUUAAUAAUGUUUUUUUAGUUAUUUUGUUCACCGUCGUAUCUAUUGAAAUUUAUGAGAAACUGUGUAUAGGCCUUUACUGUAUAAGAUCAUUUUUACUAUUAACUACCAUACUUAAUACUAUAUAGACAUUUCUUAUUUUUGAACACCGAGUAUCAUAGUUACUUCUAGAUGACAAUCGACUUUUUGGUCGUUGUGUCGAUAACUUAUUGACUUAUAGCCCUCACAGUAUAAGCUCAUCUGGCCGAAAAAUGUGUAAUAGCUAUUAAGAAAUUUUACAAGACAAAUAAGUUCAAGAUCUACAAACAUACCAAAUUGCCGAAAUCAGUCGACUCUUGACUGAAGUUAUUGCUCUUUAAUGACGAUCUGUUUCCAUUCUUGCUUAUCAUUUUAAAAACUAUAAUAGACAUAUACUUAAAGAAACUUUAUUUAGCAAAAAUACCAAAAGGACAAGAUCUACAAAUAUGUCAACAUGGCUUAAAUUGGCAGUUAACUCUUUAUUUAGAGCGUAAUAACCCUUUCAUGAUGAUGUUCAUUAAAAAAAAGGCCUUUGCUGAAGAUGCAGGUGAAAAUAUUUUGUUUGUCGUUUACUGUACCUGGUCAGCCCGCAAUAUAAAUUAAAACCUUAUAAAAUGCAUAAUCAUUUGAUUUUUACAUAUUCCUAUUUUCUUUAUUUUCAAAUAAAAGUACGUGCAUUGUAAAUGAUUCCAGUAAUGCAAUCCUUCAAUUUAUGAAAACGUGAUUGUAGUGACGCCUCCAUCGUGUAUACGAUUUCAUGCUGUUAGCACUCGAACACACCUGAUUAUCAGGUUAUGUUGACAGACAUAGUUUACAUCAGUAAAUCAACAGGUUAUUGUAAUCACGUGACAAGAGGAAAAGAAAUACAGAUGUUUGUAACUUUUACUUUACUCACGUAUUCAUUCACGAUUCAGUCAGAUAUGAAAAAAUUCACAAUGUAACAUUAUGAUUUUGAUAAACAGUAUUUGCCUUGUUAAAUAAAUUCCACAAUAAAACAUGCUAGAAAAUCAUUCCAGUUACAUGACAAAUUGAUAUUGCUGAUAGGUAUUAACAAGAGUUACGUAACAUCAUGUUCAUAGUUCCUUUCUUAGUACUAACCGUUCCUGUUUUGUUUCAUAAUUAUUUUCAUAAUUACCUAAUUUUAAAUCUUCACAUGACCAAUCAAAAAUAUCCUUGAUGUUAAAAGAAGAUUCUUUAUAGUUUACAGUGGGGACCUUAAUGAAUAUAAUUAUAUUAAUUGUCCCCCGCCAAUGCACAUGCUUUAUCUAUUCAACGGCAUUAAUUCCUUCAAAAAUGCAUGCGUUGCUAAGCACGUACAAACUCGCAAAUAAAGUACAUGAGUAUUUGAAAAUGGCAUGCAAUUGGGUAACAGAUCCGAAAAGCGAUUACAUGUUACAACUUCUAAUUGUCAGGUUUGUGACCAACUUUCAGAUAAUACUGUAAAGUUGUACUGGAUAAAAGUGUUCGUUCAACAUGUUGCAAAAUUUUUAGAGUAUAUGGCAGAAAUUGAUUGUGCUCACAUUGUAAUGAUCUAUAUAAUUUUAAUAGGAAAAGGACAUAAAUCAUUAAAAAAAAUGAUCAACGCUGAACGCGCCUUGGGCAUUACUAGGCAUUGGUGAUACUAAUCAUUGAUACUAGAACACACCCGUGAUAUCGCGGGUCCGUGACUGAAUUAAAGUAUAUAACUAUGCGCAAGCCUUAUUUUAGUAUUAGUACUGUCAUCUGAUAAAGUCAUGUCGAUAUAGAUACACAAUUUUCUUGCUUUCAAAUCUUUCUGUUUGAACCCGUCGAACUGGAACUUAUCAAUUAUUGGUAAAUAUAAUUAUUUGGAAAACAAAAGGUCCUGGAAUGGAGUAUUUUUUAAUCAACAGCAUUAUCCUAUAUUAGUUAUAAAUAAAGUUGAAUUCUUUGAUUCGCUGUUUUACGUCAUGCCCGCUAACAAAUUGAAACUUUCCAGAUUUAUAGUAUUCGUAUUGUUAUCUUAGAAAGUCUUACGGAUUAAAAUACUACAAUAGGUAGCAAUUUGACAAUUAGUGUGUCAACCCUGUGAUUAAUGAACCGGUAUAUAGCAUAUUAAUCCUGAAUACACCGUUUGGUGGUGCGCCUGUCAGAUGCGGAACGUACAGAUAAGGUAAUAGGUAACAGGUGAUUUAAACUGGACCCCUGCUGGUGUUUCAAUCUUAUCUACAAAAGUGUCGAAGUAUCAAUCAGCGGGUGGCCAGUUAACAGGUGAUUAUACUAUUGGUAUCGGUAUCGGACUCGACCCGGAAUUUCCUAAUUAUUGGCAAUAUUAAUUACGUGGAAAACAAAAGGGCCUGGAGUGGUGUAAUUUUUAAUCUACACCUUUGUACUAUAUUUGUUGUAUAUAAAGUUGAAUUCUUUGAUUCGUCGUUUUUACGUGAUGACGGCUGACAAAUUGGACCUCGUAAUUUUAGUAUUAUAGAUACUUUUCAUAACAAUGAUAAAAAGUUUAUAAUGCAAUUGUAGACGGUAAUUUUAUUCCCGAGGAGCACUACUCCUUCAAAAAAUAUUUUCGAGCUCGUCCAAUAUAUUGCUUUUCAAAACCCUUUAUAUAUAAAUGUCAUACAAUUCUGGAAUUUCACAUGUGAGAGCACUAACUAGACCUGGCGGACAGACUGAUGAACGCCUGUUAUUCCUAUGUCUCUUAAGACAGACUGUUUUGUCUUGAAUUUGCAUAUUAUAUUUGCUGUUAGGCGUUAAUCAGCCACUAAUCAAUCGAUCAGGUUUAGUAUCGUAUGUUUACUAUCACUGGGUUAGUACCACGGAUAAUAGACUAUCAUCCACUCAAUAACCAGUGGUUAUGCUCUGUUAAUUCUACCACUAAGGAGUAUGUAUUGGGGAAAAAAACCUUGUUCUCUAGCUCAGUAAUCGAAAAGGAUAAUGCAAUUUAGCAUAAAGCAUUCAAUGCUUACUAAAACAAUAUCGGCUUUUUGGUAUCAGUAUCAAAUUUAAUAUAUAAUUCGAAUUUUAUCUAACAUCUUUGAUUGGAUCUUUAAAAAAAAACCUAGAAAAAUUGUCCAAUUGUCUGAUUUGUAUAUUAUUCCUUUUAUAUUUUUUGGCGGGUAGCAUGCAGCUUUGCUCACAAAAUGUAUUUUACCAUUAGAUGACUCAUAUGAAGAUGUUGAUACGAGUGAAAUGUCUUAUUUUGGUACGGCUGUUUCUCAAACAGAAUUUAAAAUUGCUAAAGCUUAUAAUUAAAGUAUUAACUAAAUUGUUAAACGGUCAAACUCUGCGAAGAACAUAUACGUUAAUUUAAUGAUUGGGUUUUUCUGUUCUUAUUUUGAUUUUCCUUCACGUUGUGUUCAUCAUUGGGCACGAAGUUGGUUGUCAAUAACAAGCAUAUUGGAAAUUAUUCCUUGAAACAUGUAUCUUGUAAACUAAAAAAAGGUUUUACUUGCUGAACUUUUCAAAGUUAUUAAGACCGUUUAAUUGUGUUGUCUCUUUAUUUUGUCUUUGUUUAGUGGAACAAUGACUUUGGUUUAGAUUUCAUAACAUUAUUAAUUUAUCUAUUUCCUUCUUUAUUCUUUAUCAGAUAGCCUAUUUAAUCAUGAAAAUUCACAAGGAAGGUUAAUUAACCAAGAAGUUUAUACGGUACGUAUUAAAUCUUUAAACUAAUUAUAUCCUCUUUCAUGAAAUUGCAUGGUUCCUAAAUAAAGUUGUAAAUAUUUUGCAUUUUUUUUCCAAAUAUAAAUCUAUAGUAACAUCAGAGCGAAACGACGGUAAUGUGUUGUACUAAGUAUCAAUGUAACCCUUUUGUAGUAUUGACGUCAUGUUAUGUUUCAUGAUAAGAUAAAUGUAGCGAACCACCUUGUUGCAAUUCGAGAAGACAGACAGUUCUUUGUGUAUUGUAUUAGAAAAUAGAAAAAAAGCCUGUAUUUUUGUAUUUAGAAUUAAAUCUGCUUUGAUACGAUCUUUUCAAUGCCAGAAAUAAAGUAUUAAAAAAUCGCUAAAAAAGCUGUAUUAUAAGUAUAUUCACAAUAUACAACGUGAUGUUUAAAACGCACAUACACUUGCACAUUUGAAUGCAUGAAAGUAUUAUAAAACAUGUUGAUCAUAAUGUGUUCUUUUAUUAUCAGAUGGCAAUUGAUAGUAUUCCAUUCAACCGUAACUGUAUAGCUGCCAGGGUUGCCUUAGCGGUUUACCUGUCUGGUUUUCUCUGCUUUCUGAUUGGAUUGGCCACACCGAACUGGCUUCAUGUCGACCAGGGAAUGCAAGGCGGGCUUUGGAGUGCUUGUUAUUAUGUCAAGACGUUGGUUGGACCUGCAAUCAAUAUAAAUCACAGCCAG